CUCUAUACCUGUAACAGUAGCUGAAUUGUCCACACCAGUCUCCGCUAUGGGUAAGAUGCUUGCAUUGUUAUCUUCAACUAUUGUACAUCUUGUAAGGACUGAAAAGCAUUAUGCAUUAAUUAUGUGAAUACGAAAAGUGCACAUAACUCAUGCGUAGCAGAUUAUGAUAGGUUAAAGCAUGCCCGUAGAUUUAACUUCAACAAUUAUCACGCUAUGAAAGCUUGCGAAUGUUCGUUAACACAUGUGUAGUAAUUUCUCAUAGAAAUGCUGCAUACCUGUAGAAACGUCCUCUUCUGGUAGCUGAUCAACCGCCCUGCUUCUUGAAUUACCCAUGUGUACCUAUGAAAUUAAUUGCUAUACAUCAGUUAAAUGCUGUAUUGGCAAUGAGAAUAUACUGUAAGCUGGCAUGAGUAUAUUUAAUUGGCACCAAAACAGGUUGUGUGCACAUACUGGACCAGAUAUAUAAAAAACGGUGGUUUUGCUAGUAGUUCGAAAAGGCAAGUGAAUUCUGAUGGGAAAUUAAUGUUAGCUAUGCAAAUACAAUUAUGGUCUCCCAUCAAUGUAACAUGGAAUGUUGGUUACGGAGUCGUAUUUGGACUAAAUCAAUUUCAACCACCUGAUGCUCACAUUGGCAUAAGACCCUUGACUUUUUUCAGAUGGCAUAGACUGCUAGAUUGUUUACUAUUGCAUGGAACCUAUUAGAUUAAAGUGUUAUAACUACCUUAUGUUUGUGUCACUUUUUGCAUGUGAUGCUGUUUCGAGGAUGGAAAAUGGAGAUCCUCUGAAGUUGUGAGAUGCAAACUCGAUGACACCGUCCCCGAUGCCUGUUGCUACUUGAUGAUUCACCACCUGUGUGCACAUACUGUCAAAUAGUGAUAAACAGGUAUGGCUGUCAAAUAGUGACAAACAUUUCCCAUUCAAAACGGUGGUUCAUAUGGGAGGAUGACAUUAUUUCCCACUCUGAACGAUUUUAUUCAUCCAGCCUGUACCUAUUGAUGCCAGCUUACAGUAUAUUCUCAUUGCCAAUACAGCAGUUAACUGAUGUAUAGCAAUUAAUUUCAUAGGUACACAUGGGUAAUUCAAGAAGCAGGGCGGUUGAUCAGCUACCAGAAGAGGACGUUUCUACAGGUAUGCAACAUUUCCAUGAGAAAGUACUACACAUGUGUUAACGAACAUUCGCAAGCUUUCAUAGCGUGAUAACUGUUGAAGUUAAUUCUACGGGCAUGCUUUAACCUAUCAUAAUCUGCUACACAUGAGUUAUGUGCACUUUUCGUAUUCACAUAAUUAAUGCAUAAUGCUUUUCAACCGCCCCCUGACUAUUUCCUGUUGGCAUAGAAACCUUAACUUUUGCAUGUCACCAAUUAGAGUCAAGCCUCUUACCUACCUUAUGUUUGUGUCAACUAACCUCCAGAUGCUGCUGCUGAUGACACCCCACCCUGGGGCCGGCACCAGGCCCAAACUCCUGUCAGUUAUGUGCACGAAAACUGAGUUCCUUGCAAUGAGAUGAUUCAAUUUAGGGCUGAUAAAAUGAGAGCAAGAGGUAUGGCACAGUUGAGGAUGUUGAACCGAGAUCACAAUGCCAGUACGACCACGGAACCGAUCAGAGAUGCAGAUUUGUAAGAGUAGUAAUUGUAAAGGUAGGAAUAUGUAAACGCCACACCUGACACCUGAUUUUGCAAUCGCCACUCCGGCGGCGACUGGAUCGCACGCACGUCCGCUGAAGAGCGACGGAUCGGGGACGUGAGCCUGUCUUUGCACCCGGACGGCGUCGUCGCCGGGAUAAGACUGCACGCUGUGAAAGAGACCUACUGUAUGAGCGCUUGUGGCGGCGGACAAGGGUUUCAGGGUUUGUGACGGCGGCCAAGGGUUUGAGGGGCGGGGACGAAUGACCGCGGCUCGCAAUGGGAUCGAGGUCAAGACGAUCAGAUCGAUCAGCCCGUCAUUUCGUAGGUUAACCGUGAUUGAUCG
rnacentral:lncRNA from 1 species